GACGAACGCUGGCGGCGUGCUUAACACAUGCAAGUCGAACGGAAAGGCCCUGCUUUUGUGGGGUGCUCGAGUGGCGAACGGGUGAGUAACACGUGAGUAACCUGCCCUUGACUUUGGGAUAACUUCAGGAAACUGGGGCUAAUACCGGAUAGGAGCUCCUGCUGCAUGGUGGGGGUUGGAAAGUUUCGGCGGUUGGGGAUGGACUCGCGGCUUAUCAGCUUGUUGGUGGGGUAGUGGCUUACCAAGGCUUUGACGGGUAGCCGGCCUGAGAGGGUGACCGGCCACAUUGGGACUGAGAUACGGCCCAGACUCCUACGGGAGGCAGCAGUGGGGAAUAUUGCACAAUGGGCGGAAGCCUGAUGCAGCAACGCCGCGUGCGGGAUGACGGCCUUCGGGUUGUAUACCGCCUUCGCCUGUGACGAAGCGUGAGUGACGGUAAUGGGUAAAGAAGCACCGGCUAACUACGUG
rnacentral:rRNA from 1 species